GGCCCCGUAGCUCAGCAUGGAUAGAGCGGCGGCCUUCUAAGCCGUAGGUCGUGGGUUCAAAUCCCACCGGGGCCGCCA
rnacentral:tRNA from 2 species